GCUAGGAAAAUAAAACAUUCUUCAAAGGCCUACUCUAAAAGGAAUGGGAAGGAAGGAAAGAUUUCAUUUUAAAGAUUCACAAGGGAUAGAAGAGGGAGGGAAGGGAGGUAAAGGGGAUGAAGAAAAGAAUUAGGAUGUGCUAUGUACAUGUACCAGAAGGAAUGUAAACAUUAUGCAUUGCAAACAUGUAUUAAUAAAAAAUUUAAAAAAAAAUCAAAGUGAACAAAAGCCUAAGGAUUAAAAAGAGAGAGAGAUUCACAGAAGGUUGACUCCCACAGCAAGAAUCUAGACAUGCCCAGUGACCAGUGUCUGUUCCCGGCCCCUCCCCGGCACAACCACUGUCUUCUGAGCAGCGUCACCUGCUGAAUUCUCAAGGGACUGCUAGAUAACCAGCCCAUAUUAACUCAAUGUGGGGAUAAUCUAUUGUAUAAACCCUUUAACAAGCAUCAAAGAAUUUGGCAUAAAAAAAAAAAGAAUUUGGCAUGAAAUUGUCCUAGUGGUUAGAUGAGUCUUAAGCCAGUUUCUGGGUUUCCUAUAUGUCUGGCAGGGUCCUUUCCUCUCAAAAUAGUAUCAUAAUACCGAAGAUGCUGACACAUACUCUAUAAAAGUCAAGAGUAAGAACUUGGGCCUUAAUCUGGUACCUGUUUAUUGCUGUAAAACUAGGAAACCAAACUUAUCAUUCCCACUUCAAAUACCAACAUAACCAUUUGUAUAUGAGCUCCUAAAAUUUAAAAAAAUAUGGCCCAAAUAUAUACCUUUUAUCCUUAGCUUGCCAUAAAGCACCCAUCUCACUCAACGUGAACCAAUCAACAGGGUGGCCUGCUGCAUGUUCACUCAGCAGCAUGGGUGCCAGGCAGGGGCACCCCCACUGCAACACAUCAGAAGGAGCCCAGGACCUAAUGAGCCAACUCUGCAGAUGCCACCAAAUGGAUCGCCUGCUUAUCAAGCCACAGCAGAGCUAGGUUUUAGAAACAGUUAAAGCUGCAAUUUCUGGGAGGCUCCUUUAAAUCUGGGGGUCAAAAGAUAUACACGUUAAAUAUGUUUUCAGUUUUAUUUUGAGACUAGUACUCUGGCAUUAUAAACUCGUAUAAUCCUUUGGAAGGGCCUCUUGACCAGACACCCCAGAAAAUUCUGGGCCCUAGACUUGCUAUGCUUGCUGCCAAACAACUAUCACCUAAUUCAGAAGCUCAAGAUGUGUUUUUUCCCUCCCUAAGAUGUUGGGAUCACAAAUCAGAAACGAAAUUCACCUCAGGCUAUUAAGCCUCCUGAACACCCCUCUCUAUCACAGUCAAGCCUCAAGACAAAAGCUAGGUCGACCAAAUGAGUUUGCUCUCUGGUUCACAAUCAUGAUCAAUAGUCAUUUCUGCUGGGAGUUUUAGCCUUGAAAAAAUUAAUGUUCCUCCUUUGCUAUUAACCUACGCUGACAAAAUCGAAUACUACUCAUCCUAUCCCUACAGACAUUAGCUUACCCUGGGAAAUUAAAACAAAAUCAGCUCCUUUCCCUUGGGCUUUCUACUGUUCUUGACUUAUUUUCCACUUUGAUCUUGCCCCUGAACUUAGCUGGGGAAGCAAGUCAACUUCCCCUGAGGACAGCUUCUUCCAGGCUUCAUAAAGCAGGUACUAGGGUUUCUGCUCAAAUUCUACAAGGGGGGUGAGGUGGAUGGGAAGCCAAGGAGACACCACAUCAAAGUGGUCGAUGAUGUGGCUGGGCAGAUAAGUGGUAGAGCCUAUGCUCAGCAUACUCCAGGACCCGGAUUCCACCUCUAGAAUACCUCCCCAUUGGUCAUUGUUAUAAACUAAUAUUCAAUACUUUUUUUUUUUUUGUGGUGGUGGUGGUGGUGGUGGUACUGGGGGUGAAACCCAGGGCAUGGAUACAAGCACUGUACAACUGAGCUACAACCCCUCCUUUUUUUUCAAAAAAAAAAUUUUUGGAGGUAAGUUUUCACUAAGGUGCCUUUCACUAAGAGCAGUGUCUCAAGUAGCUGGGAUUAUAGACCUGUGCUACUGUGCCCAAUAUUAACAAGCACCUGGGCAUUGAGGACAAAAUGGCUCCUGCUCCAGUCUAUGUGAGGAACAUUCACAUCCUAUUAACCACAACAAACAACUAUACAGGGUAGGAAAUGCUCAUCAGCACGAUGACUUUAGUGGAGGAAUCAGCCUACAUGAAUGCUCAUUCAAGCUUGUCAGCUACAGUCAGUCCCCUGGCUCUCUGGGUGACUUUUACCUCAUCCACGUUAUCAACAAGCUUUGUCCUAUUUGGCAUCAUUAAAACACACACACACACACAUUCACUCACACAUACACAUUUCCUUUCCUCUCUACCAACCAUAAGAUGUAGAAUUAUCAGCAAGCUGGUGUUAGAAGUUAACACAUAGUUCCUUUGUAAUAUAAUUCACCUUAUACAGACAUCUGCAUGGUCAACUAUACCUGCAAAAGGCCCUGUUUCAAAAUCGGUCUAUAGAAAAAACAUUGUCACUACAGUCUGUCAAGUAUCCUUACAAGGAUAUCACCUGCCCCCCACCAUCCUUUCCAUCAUAACUGAAAUAGUUUCUAUGAGUUUCCAUGAUCUGGGCACACUAACUGAAUGCCUCAGAGGGGUUCCUUGUGGGGUCUUGGGUACCCAUACUUCUUGGCUGUCACCAGUGCUAACCACCCCCCUCACCAUAUUACCCUGGCUAUCUACAAGGUUUCCAGCUCAUAACAACCUGAGCUGCUCACCCUCAGGCAUGAGUUCACAGAUACCUAUGCCCUUCCCUCAAGAGUGUUUGUCAACUAGCAUCAGUGUCAGUUUCCAUUUGAGUUUCUUUCUGGUCACCAGUUUGGUGCCAAGACACCUGCUAAGUUAUGCAGGUCUCCUUGUUACCUAGGUCUGCAGUUUUCCUGUAUAUGCUUGUCUUCUGUCCUCUUAAUAUAUAGCUUUAAGUCUUUUAACCAGACUCGCAAGUAUGACAGAAAAAACAUCACCCUGCUCUUAUAUAAAUUGUCUCUUUUCAUCACAAUCACAGAAGUUGCAGAAGAAAUUUAUCUGCCAUCUUGGCCUUGAGUCCUUUAAUUUCUUUUUCAUACCUUCAAUGUUCUGGGGAAGAUCAGGCUUUUCCUAUUUCCCCACCACAUGGUGGUUGAUGUAUGAGCACUGGCAGGCUCCCCAGCUCAUCUAGAAGUGGGCCUCACAAAGCCAAUCUAAGCACAGCAUUCUUCAUCUCCAACCAGGAAUCUCCCAAUAGCAGGAAGCUUCUGCCCCAGAGGGCAACCAGAAUUGCUUCCCAUUCCUUUUACUGCCUGGAGGCUUCUUUAGUGUCUAGCUGGUGUAAUUUUUUAAUAGUACCACGGGUUAAAAGUAAACACUUGCCAAACACCCCGCGCAGGUGAAUCACCAUUUUGCUGAUGGGAGUGAGGCAGGUGGGAAAGAGGGAAGAGAGAGGUACAAAUAUGGGAACCACAGAAUCCCCACUGCUAAGAAGAAAUGAAGAUGGUGGGCUGCACACAAAAGACUGUACCUUGAGGUCUCAAACUGGAGCCCACGUACGUUUCUGAUGACAUGGUGAGAAAGGGAUGUCUCCUGGAUGCAGGAAGCCCCAGAUAAGUGUGACCCCUGCAGACCCCAGCCUUGCUAGGUAGCAGGCAAACACUUCAAGUUCAGGGUAUGGGUGUAGAAAAUGUUUCCUCACCACCUGUUUUCAUAAGGCGCUGCCUUUAAACCCACUGGAUAGCUCCAAUGACAGGUCUCUGAGGACUCUCCCCUCUCCUUUUCCUUCCUAGGUUAUUCUACUGCUAAAACUUACUCAACCUCUCCAAUAAACCUGUUUUAAAAGAGCAUUCUUCAAGUUAAGAUUUUCUUGUUUUCUAGUGUGCUUGCAUGGCCUUAGUCAUUUGCUCAACAAAUAUUUCAGAAGCACAGGCAAUGGCAGAUACUGUGGCUAGGUCCCGGGUACAUAAUUGUAAGCAAAAUCAACAAGGUUCUGCCCUUUCAGAGAAAGAGGAAAAGCAGAUGUCUAUUAUGGUAUAUGGAAUAACAAACUGUGAGGAGUGCCACAAAGGGUAAGAAGAGUAAAGGUGGGGAGGUGGGUGGAGCCAUUUUCAACAGAGGUUUCAGCUCCUGAAAAGUCUAGCUCCCUUCUGGCUAGGGAUGGAAAGGUGGCCAAUGUGCCACCUGGAAUGUUAUAAACCAGGAGGACCAAGGGUGAGGCUGAGGUUGAAGGAGGCAGGAGAGAGAGAUCACAUGUUCAGAAACACGGUUAGCUGUGGACCUUAUUCUAGAAGCCUUCACAGGAUUUACACAAAGACAUGUCAUGAUCAUAUCAGGAGACUGGGUUUUAUGUUGUCGUUAGUUUUGUUUAUUUUUAUAGUAGUGGGAAUUAAACCCAGGGCUUUGCACUGAGCUACAACUUCAGUGGCCCCCCCCUUAAAUUUUAUUUUGUGACAAGGUCUCCUAAGUCAUCCAAACUUGCAACCUUCCUGCCUCAGCCUCCCUGGUAGGUUGGACUUCAGGUUUAUGUUGCCAUGCCUGGAAUAUUUAUUUAUUUAUGAGGCAUAAAGGGGUUUAUUAGGCAAUAAUUUAAAACAAUUAAGUACAAGCCCUCAAAAAAGAAAGGCAUGUUACAGUUUGGAGCUAGAAAUCUUUGUUUUUGGUGGUGAAAAUUUGUGAAUCCAUAGUAAGUACCACCCAGGUCUUAGUUUACAGGAAAAGGAUGGCCCACCUACAGAAAAAUAAUGGCUCAUUUACAAGUAAAAGGCAUGAGCCCCACCAAAGGUUUUGUUUUUUGAGACAGGGUUUCACUAUGCAGUACAGGCUGGUCUUGAACUCACUAUGUAGCCCAGGAGUUCAAGAGGAUCCUCCUGCUUCAACCUCCUGUGUGGUGGGAUCACAGGCAUGUGGCACGCACCUGGCAAUUUUUUUAGAUGGGUUAGCUAAGAUGUUUUGCCUAAAAACUCUCUUGGAACUCUCAAUCUGUUCCUUUAUCUUAAGAUCAGGUUUCUGUCCUUUAUCAAUUAAACUCAUUUGUGGGUUUAAAGCAUCUUUAAGGGACUUUGGGUAUGAUGGGCCUAGAACAGUGACUGAUGGUAAUCGAGCUUGCAAUAAUACAAACAGCUGGCUGCAGCACAAACGCCACAGGUUUGCCACCACUGGCCUAGAAGAAAAGAAGCAUAAAAAACCUAGGGAAUACUGACACAAACAAUCUUGGGUAACUUUAACUGUGUCCUAGAGCUGUAACCCUCUUAAAAGUAAAAAUUUUUAGUUAUGAUUUUCCUUGUCUCCCUUUCACCUAUCUUUAUUUAUUCUAUUAUACCUCAUUCCCCUCCCCUGGGACUUUGAUCUCUUAUUCUUUGAAGAUCCAUCUUCCUAUAAUGGCUUCAGGCUAAGGAGAGGUGCUGAUGCUCCUUAGCCAGGAAUCAAGUCUCACUCUAUCUAAAGGAGACAAAGGAAGAUGAGUUGUCUGAUCAUCUUUUGAUAGUUUGGAAAAGAGGACAUUAGCAAGUCAUUGACACUUAAGCUUCAUUUUACAACCAUGUUAAAUAUGCAGGGGCUAAGAAUUGAAAGAAUAUUGAAAAAUAGUAGCUCAAAAAGUUGUGUCAGAUAAAAAUUAGCCAGCACUUGGCAUAAGCCUUUUAUCUUUAAUAUCAACCUCUAUUUGUCCAGAGGUGUUAAUGCAAAUACAACAGGUGGAGUUUAAAAGCAUACAGGGCUGGGGAUUUAGCUCAUUGUUUCCAAUGCCUGGCCUGCCUGGCCCACCUGGCCCGCCUGGCCUGCAAGCGCAAGGACCUGAGUUCGAUCCCCAGUACCAAAAAAAAAAAGCACAUGGACUCUUCCCUCUUUGUCAAAGAAAUCUAACAUUCUCCAUGCUUGAAUUUUUUUAAACAAAGUUGUCUGCAUCCGGUGAGUAGAUCAGAAAGGAGUAGGAGACAUGGGCAGGUGAGUGAACAGGCUGUUACAGUCUCCCAAGCAAAAAGAUGAUCAUCUGAACUACUGCGGUGGUAGGGAAGCCAGAUAAAAGAGAAUCAUCCAAGAGAUACACAAGGUAAAGAUCAACAGCACUUGGCAAAGGAGUGGCUACAGACUACAGGGUGGGAGGUCCACCAUGGUUUGCAGUGAGGAGAAAUGGCAAUGACUUCCAGCAGAAAGCAUGGCCAUGCAAACUCUGCAGCUCACCAGUACACUUCCCUGAGCAUGUUUUUCAGAAUUUCUAGAUAAUUUUAUAACCCUUCUCCUAUUUGCUGAAACAGUCAUCCGUUCUAAACACAUAUUUAUCAAACUGUUGUGCCCAGAUUGUGAAGUCCCAGAGACCACCAGGAGGCCAUUUCCGAUGUAAGCACACAAGGGUCGUUUAUUCAAGCUUAAGCAGGGACUCUCAACUGUCACCGACACAGCGGAUCGAGAUUGAGAGCCCUGAGUCCCUAACUAGCAGGGUUUUUAUUGAGAAUACAACAAGCUUUGGUUAUUAGUAGCCAGGUGAUUGGUUAAUACUUAAUACAUAUGAAGUGUAGGGUUUUGGUUGGCUAGGCUUUGGGGGUCGAAGGGGAUUACGUAUUGGUUUUUGUGAGGGAGAAAAGGGGCAAAGAUUAACGGCCGGUUGUUACAUACUGAUCGUUAGCAGACCCACUAACUAAUGGCUGCAUCUAUCUUGUGUGGACAGUCAGCUCAUUAACUGCUUAUCCUACAGAUAGUGUGCCUGGAACGCUCUCUCCCCGGGUACACAGGUGGUUGGGUAAUAAACUCAGGAAUUUCAAGUGGUGAAUUCCUAGUUUAAGCACAAAUUUGAGAGAACAAAGAAGACGGCUCCAAAAUGGAGUCAUUUUGGUCCCACAAAACAUUACUAGACACUGGGAUAAAGAGGUGACCAAGAUAGCCUAAGCCCCUGCAGCAGCCACCAAGUUCCCAGAGGAGCCUCAAAAUUCUCUUGGCAGCAGAACACAACUCCCAAGGCUGGAGUCAUCUUACUUCCUAGAACCUUCUCUACCUCUUAGAGAUUUUCUGCAAUGAAGAAAUACUUUAAAACUCAAAGAUUCACUCCUCAUUUCGUAAAAUCCCAAGUCCAGGGGACAUCACAGCACCAAAUCUAACCUCUCCAGGUCUUUGAGUGCCCCCAUCUAAAGACCACAAACCCCUCGAGGCAAUUCUUCCAUUACAAAAUCAAAUUCUUCUAAAACAUACUAAGCUUAGGAACUACUUGUGACUGGUACUCUUUCAUUAGUUUCCUAAAUUAGUUUGUGCUGGGUUCUAUUCUAUGAUGGAGAUGGGCAGUUUUAAACUCUGAAACUGCACCAUCUAAUGUAGCCACAUGGAGGGAGCCACAGUGGUACCUCAGUUCAUGAACUUAAUUUGUUCCAAGAGUUUGGAAAAGAUGACCACAUUGGUGCUUGUAUGCCAUGAUUGUGUUUGUUGCCUGAUGCAAAUAAAAACAAAAGUUUUGCCAAACACUUUUGUUUGCAAACCAGAUUGCUCCCAAACAAAAGUUAAAUUAAAAUGAACCAAAAUUAAAAUUAGAUAAAAUCAAAGCUUCAAUUUAUUAGUGGCAUUAUCCUUUCAAAUGUCUAAUAGUCACAUGUGGCAAGUGGCUACUUUAACUCCAGAGCACAUACCUAGCAUAUGACAGAAAAGUCUGUUGGACAGUGACCCACAGGCAUACUGUUACAGGGUUCUUUUCAUGUUUGAUUUGAAUUUCCUCUUUAAAACAUAAAAACAAAAACAAAAGUUUACCAUACCCUCUUUGGUUUUAAAAGUGAGAGUUAUAAGAAAAACUUUAUACUCCCUAAUAUACUGCUUUUAAUCAGUUCCAUACCUUGGGCUUUAUAAAAAAUUUGUUUGAAAAUAACCCGUGAUAGGCUGGGGAUGUAGCUCAGUGGUGCUGUGCCUGCCGGGCAAGCACAAGGUCUUGAGAUCGAUUCCUGUGGGGUAGGGAGGGAGGACUCCAGUAUCAAAUGCUGCCCAUCCUAAAUCCAAAGAAUAAAAAUAACCUGUGACUUCAGUGAGGACAAAAAUUGGAACCAUAAUUUAGGAACAACUAUAGAUACACAUUAUCUUUUAAUGUACUUUAUACAAUGUCCAAUACAUUUGAUGUUUAGUAAACACACUGCCUAUCAUGAAAGUACUCAAUUUUUUAGGCCUACU
rnacentral:lncRNA from 1 species